rnacentral:rRNA from 1 species
UGGAGGAAAGUAGGGGAUCGCAAGACCUUGCGCUUUUGGAGUGGCCGAUGCCUGAUCAGCUAGUUGGUGGGGUAAAGGCUUACCAAGGCAACGAUCAGUAGUUGGUCUGAGAGGACGGCCAACCACACUGGGACUGAGACACGGCCCAGACUCCUACGGGAGGCAGCAGUGGGGAAUUUUGGACAAUGGGCGAAAGCCUGAUCCAGCCAUGCCGCGUGAGUGAAGAAGGCCUUCGGGUUGUAAAGCUCUUUUAGUCGGGAAGAAAGAGUUGCAAUGAAUAAUUGUGAUUUAUGACGGUACCGACAGAAAAAGCACCGGCUAACUACGUGCCAGCAGCCGCGGUAAUACGUAGGGUGCGAGCGUUAAUCGGAAUUACUGGGCGUAAAGGGUGCGCAGGCGGUCUUGCAAGUCAGAUGUGA